AUGACCAUUAACAAGGCGCAGGAGCAGACCAUCCCAAAUGUUGGCAUUUAUCUUCCGGAGCUAGUGUUCUCCCAUGGUCAUCUGUAUGUUGCCUUGUCAAGGGGUGUAUCAAAGGCGGACGACACGAAUUUUGGUCAAGCUGAACAAACAGAUUGA
rnacentral:rRNA from 1 species